rnacentral:tRNA from 1 species
UCCUGCAAACAUGGGUUUAAGUCCUGUUUCUAUCA